CAGGAGCGCCACCGCCAAGAUCCUAAUCCCGGCGCCCAUGCCGCACCGUGCUCUCCUCUAUCUAGCUUGGACGCCUCCCUGCCUGGAUGCCUGACCGAUGUGGGACUCGUCGAGGCUCUGCUCUGCUCCAGCGGCUAAUGACGGCACCGCGAGCUAUCUAGAAGAAGCGGUGGUGGUGGUGGUGGUGGCGAUGAUGACGGAGCCGUUGGGUGUCUGUCGCCGCGGCUGCGGGUGUGUUUGUGGGUGGCGUAGUUAUUGUGUUGGAGUAGUAG
rnacentral:lncRNA from 1 species